CGCGCCGAUGCCUCUGAGCCUCCUCAGGAAACUUCUCGGUCUGGAGCCCGUUGGUCACUGCAGGCUCAGCGGACCGAGGUUAGGACGGAUCGGCCUCUCUAGUCAGAGCGUGCAGUGGUGAUCAGAUCCCACCGGGAAGGCAGCAUAAUCGCGUGGUCCCAGCCUUCAAGCUGCCUGCGCCGCACAUCUUGGACGGAAUGCCAAUAGUCAACUGGACCUGCUGUGACGAUCCUUGGCCUGCAACUCAGCAGUUGGAGAUGGCAUUUGUCUGACUUAGAAGGCCGUUGUGUUUGUGAGAGCAUAGUAGGAUAAAAAGUGUCCCCAUAGACUCAUGGUGAAGGCUUUCUCUGCAGCUGGUGAUCCUCCUCGAUUUAACCACGUGUACCAGGACAGUUGUUCUAGCUUUGAGAAGUAGUUAUGAAAGUGGGGACUGGCUGAGGUAAGUGGGUCUUUGGAGGCAGGCCUGUGAGGUAUCUUGUCUUGUGUACUUUCUCAGCUUUCUGGCUCCCGUGAAAUGAACAGCCCUGUCCCACCAGACCCUCCUGCCACGUUCUACCGAUCCACCUGGCUGGGAGCCAGAAACAGUGGGUCCACAGACUGAAACUGUGCAUCAUGAUCAAUCAGUCUCUCUCUCUCUCUCUCUCUCUCUCUCUCUCUCUCUCUCUCUCUCUCUCUCUCUCUCGAUUGAUUUUGUGUAUGAGUGUUCUGCCUGCAUGUACACCUGCAUGCCAGAAGAGGGCAUCACAUCCUUUUAUAGAUGGUUGUGAUUGCUGAGAAUUGAACUCAGGACCUAUGGAAAACCAGCCAGUGCUCUCAACUGCUGAGCCAUCUCUCCAUCCCUGAAUUUCUCCCUUUAAAUUAUUUCUCUCGUCGGGCG
rnacentral:lncRNA from 1 species